AGAGUUUGAUCCUGGCUCAGGAUGAACGCUAGCUACAGGCUUAACACAUGCAAGUCGAGGGGAAACGACAUCGAAAGCUUGCUUUUGAUGGGCGUCGACCGGCGCACGGGUGAGUAACGCGUAUCCAACCUGCCUAUCACUUGGGGAUAACCUUACGAAGUAAGACUAAUACCCAAUGAUAUCUCUAGAAGACAUCUGAAAGAGAUUAAAGAUUUAUCGGUGAUGGAUGGGGAUGCGUCUGAUUAGUUUGUUGGCGGGGUAACGGCCACCAAGGCUACGAUCAGUAGGGGUUCUGGAGAGGAAGGUCCCCCACAUUGGAACUGAGACACGGUCCAAACGUCCUACGGGAGGCA
rnacentral:rRNA from 1 species